UAAUUUCUUCGUUUUUGCCUUUGCCUUGGCUAGUGAGUUUCAAUUUUUGUGCAUCGGUUUGCAGAAAAAUAAAUUUUUAUAAGAAACGAAUAAUUUCAUAUACAAGGCAAUUGACUUUGAAGAAAACAACAUAAUUUUCCAAGAAAACAAAGUUUUAAAUUAUACAACACUUGUAAAGAUAUCAUAUUAUUAUAAAUUGUGGAAAUCGCAUAUCUGCGAUAAAAG